AUUGAACGCUGGCGGCAUGCCUUACACAUGCAAGUCGAACGGUAACAGGUCUUCGGAUGCUGACGAGUGGCGAACGGGUGAGUAAUACAUCGGAACGUGCCUAGUAGUGGGGGAUAACUACUCGAAAGAGUGGCUAAUACCGCAUGAGGUCUACGGAUGAAAGCAGGGGAUCGCAAGACCUUGUGCUACUAGAGCGGCCGAUGGCAGAUUAGGUAGUUGGUGGGAUAAAAGCUUACCAAGCCGACGAUCUGUAGCUGGGCUGAGAGGACGAUCAGCCACACUGGGACUGAGACACGGCCCAGACUCCUACGGGAAGCAGCAGUGGGGAAUUUUGGACAAUGGCGAAAGCCUGAUCCAGCAAUGCCGCGUGCAGGAUGAAGGCCUUCGGGUUGUAAACUGCUUUUGUACGGAACGAAAAGCCCCGGGUUAAUACCCUGGGGUCAUGACGGUACCGUAAGAAUAAGCACCGGCUAACUACGUGCCAGCCGCCGCGGUAA
rnacentral:rRNA from 1 species